GACUGCGCCUGCGCCAAGCAGGGAGAGGGGUUGCAGGCAGGAGCUUGGACAAGGGUAGAUUUCACGGAGACUUCCAGCGGCCCCGCCUCUUUCGUGUAGGGAAACCUUUCCUCCUUUUGUGUGGGGACACCUCAAACUCACUACUGAACGGAGUUCGUCAUCCAUCCCUGCCUCAGAAGAUGGCAGCUCCAUCGUCCAGGUGCUGGGGCUGAAAUAAAACUCCAUCAUCCCUCAUUCUUUUCCUAUCCUGGAGUUGGACCAAAGAUUCAUUCAGGUUAUGUAAGCUCUACCACCUAAGGAGUCGUCGUGCUACCUGCUGCUUUCCCAGUCCAGGGAUGGGACUCCAGGCCUUAUACAUAGCAGCUCUGCCGGCAUGACCUUGAGGAAGUCACCAGACUUCUCCAAGCCUUGGUUUACAGUGGUGAAGCAGUAUGGACCGCCCACUGGUAACCAUUCCUUAAGCUAGCCAUGGACUCAAGAGGCUGGAGCAAACAGUUUGCCUGGGUCACUUCACCCAGUGUUCGCAGGAUCUCUCCUAGGGGAAAACCUACUUUUCAGAA
ensembl:antisense Mypopos Myb-related transcription factor, partner of profilin, opposite strand